UAUUGUUUUAUUUUUAGUAAAAUUUUAUUGGACGUAAGAUAUUUGAUUUAAUUACUUGAAUUAAAGUUGAAUAAUAAUUAUUUGAAUUUAUUCCGCUGUGAUGCAUUGAUAUCGUGAUGAGAUGCCUUGCAUGUUUAUGGAGAGAGUUCUUCGUAAGUAUGCGGCGGUUGCCGCGACCUCCUGCUCGCGAUCUCGGGCCGGAGACGUGAUACUAUCAGUAAAAAUAAUUAUCAACAAAAAUCACUAAUGACAUUAAGUAACCCUCUACAAUGUCAGCAAAAUGAA
rnacentral:lncRNA from 1 species